rnacentral:rRNA from 1 species
AUCCAUAGGUUAAUGAGGCGAACCGGGGGAACUGAAACAUCUAAGUACCCCGAGGAAAAGAAAUCAACCGAGAUUCCCCCAGUAGCGGCGAGCGAACGGGGAGGAGCCCAGAGCCUGAAUCAGCAUGUGUGUUAGUGGAAGCGUCUGGAAAGGCGCGCGAUACAGGGUGACAGCCCCGUACACAAAAGCGCAUGUGCUGUGAGCUCGAUGAGUAGGGCGGGACACGUGGUAUCCUGUCUGAAUAUGGGGGGACCAUCCUCCAAGGCUAAAUACUCCUGACUGACCGAUAGUGAACCAGUACCGUGAGGGAAAGGCGAAAAGAACCCCGGCGAGGGGAGUGAAAAAGAACCUGAAACCGUGUACGUACAAGCAGUGGGAGCACAGGUUUACCUGUGUGACUGCGUACCUUUUGUAUAAUGGGUCAGCGACUUAUAUUCUGUAGCAAGGUUAACCGAAUAGGGGAGCCGUAGGGAAACCGAGUCUUAACCGGGCGUUAAGUUGCAGGGUAUAGACCCGAAACCCGGUGAUCUAGCCAUGGGCAGGUUGAAGGUUGGGUAACACUAACUGGAGGACCGAACCGACUAAUGUUGAAAAAUUAGCGGAUGACCUGUGGCU